CUCAAUCUUUCUCUUCUAGAUCUGACAGUUUUGAGCUGGGUCAUAUUCCAGGAAGUGACUGUUAUAGAGACCUACAUCUCUACACUAAGGUUAGGUGUCAUAGUAAGAGGAAAUACUCAGUGAAGAGAAGAUUAAUGAAUAAAAGGGAAACCAGAGGACAUUCUAGGAGAAAAUCUCAACUAAUAACCUCAGAAGGAAUCUAACUUAAACCAAGUCUUGGAAAGCUCAAACACAUUGGAUGUGGAUUUCUAUCUAGAAAUUAGAUUACACUGGGCAUAUAUAUAUUUGGACA
ensembl:lncRNA